ACGGGAGGCAGCAGUGGGGAAUAUUGCGCAAUGGGCGAAAGCCUGACGCAGCGACGCCGCGUGAGGGAUGAAGGUCUUCGGAUUGUAAACCUCUGUCAGAAGGGAAGAAAGAAGUACGUGCUAAUCAGCGUACAAGUGACGGUACCUUCAAAGGAAGCACCGGCUAACUCCGUGCCAGCAGCCGCGGUAAUACGGAGGGUGCAAGCGUUAAUCGGAAUCACUGGGCGUAAAGCGCACGUAGGCGGCGUGCCAAGUCAGGGGUGAAAUCCCGCAGCUCAACUGCGGAACUGCCUUUGAAACUGGUAUGCUUGAGUGUCGGAGGGGGUGACGGAAUUCCGGGUGUAGGAGUGAAAUCCGUAGAUAUCCGGAAGAACACCGGUGGCGAAGGCGGUCACCUGGACGAUAACUGACGCUGAGGUGCGAAAGCGUGGGUAGCAAACAGGAUUAGAUACCCUGGUA
rnacentral:rRNA from 1 species